rfam:Slackia heliotrinireducens DSM 20476, complete genome.
GGCACUUGCACGCGUUGCGGUGCAACGAUGGUUAAAGA